rnacentral:rRNA from 1 species
CCUACGGGUGGCAGCAGUGGGGAAUAUUGCACAAUGGGGGAAACCCUGAUGCAGCGACGCCGCGUGAGCGAAGAAGUAUUUCGGUAUGUAAAGCUCUAUCAGCAGGGAAGAAAAUGACGGUACCUGACUAAGAAGCACCGGCUAAAUACGUGCCAGCAGCCGCGGUAAUACGUAUGGUGCAAGCGUUAUCCGGAUUUACUGGGUGUAAAGGGAGCGCAGGCGGUACGGCAAGUCUGAUGUGAAAGCCCGGGGCUCAACCCCGGUACUGCAUUGGAAACUGUCGUACUAGAGUGUCGGAGAGGGAUGCGGCAUUCCCAGUGUUCUACUCUCUUUCCCUACUCGACGCACUUCCGCUCUCGGGUUUCUUGGCGGUUUCAUCGAUUCGUUUAAUGAAGGCGUCAGGAUUGUUGUGUGAUAAGUGAUUAGAAAUCAUAAUAGUU